rnacentral:rRNA from 1 species
UUUGGGUUAUUUCUAUUGUUUGUCUUGGAUCAAAAUAGAAAAGUUGUCUCAAUUUUCGAUCCGAUACCAAUACCUACUUUCGGAAAGAAUGUACUUAAAACCGUGGCCGACAAUCUAAACCUUGCGCUUGAAGUUGCAAACCCUACAUUCAAGGACGAUAUCUCUAAAUGGGAAUGCAUAGUUCCUGAUGCUCCAACAAACUCACACUGCGCCCUGUCUGGUUAUUUGGUUUUUAAUUACAUGCACUCAUUAUGCGAUGGAAAGCUAUAUUUUCCCAUACCCCAGGAUGGUUUUCAACUGAGGAAGCAAUUUUUGGUGCAUAUUUUAAAGUACGAAGAGAAUGAAGCUCAAAACAAUAUCCCAUACAUUGAACGAAGCAUCGUUGAUCGCAUC